rnacentral:rRNA from 1 species
GCAGCCGCGGUAAUACGAAGGGGGCUAGCGUUGUUCGGAAUUACUGGGCGUAAAGCGCACGCAGGCGGCCUGAUAAGUCAGUGGUGAAAGCUCUCAGCUUAACUGGGAAACUGCCAUUGAAACUGUUAGGCUUGAGUACAAUUGAAGUGGGCGGAAUACAUCAUGUAGCGGUGAAAUGCUUAGAUAUGAUGUAGAACACCGAUUGCGAAGGCAGCUCACUAAAUUGCAACUGACGCUGAGGCACGAAAGCGUGGGUAGCGAA